ACGAUCUCAUGCGAUGACGGGUAGCCGGCCUGAGAGGGCGACCGGCCACACUGGGACUGAGACACGGCCCAGACUCCUACGGGAGGCAGCAGUGGGGAAUAUUGCACAAUGGGCGAAAGCCUGAUGCAGCGACGCCGCGUGGGGGAUGACGGCCUUUGGGUUGUAAACCCCUUUCAGUAGGGAAGAAGCGAAAGUGACGGUACCUGCAGAAGAAGCGCCGGCUAACUACGUGCCAGCAGCCGCGGUAAUACGUAGGGCGCAAGCGUUGUCCGGAAUUAUUGGGCGUAAAGAGCUCGUAGGUGGCUUGUCGCGUCUGCCGUGAAAACCCGAGGCUCAACCUCGGGCGUGCGGUGGGUACGGGCAGGCUAGAGUGUGGUAGGGGAGACUGGAACUCCUGGUGUAGCGGUGAAAUGCGUAGAUAUCAGGAAGAACACCGAUGGCGAAGGCAGGUCUCUGGGCCAUUACUGACACUGAGGAGCGAAAGCAUGGGUAGCGAACAGGAUUAGAUACCCUGGUAGUCCAUGCCGUAAACGUUGGGCACUAGAUGUGGGGGACAUUCCACGUUUUCCGCGUCGUAGCUAACGCAUUAAGUGCCCCGCCUGGGGAGUACGGACAAC
rnacentral:rRNA from 1 species